GUCGCCUCGCCGCCCGCCAGGGGGCCCCGCGGGGAGGGCGCCGCCUCCCGGGGAGGGCGCGAGCGGGGCGUCCGAGACAAGGUCAUCUGCUUCCCAGGACAAAAUACGACGUGCCGCCCUCGCCGGUUGGUGUAAGAGGGAGGAAAGGGCAGAGCAAGGGGGCGGCAGUCAGUUCUGCGGAGAAGGCGGACGGGAGCCGGCCCCGCGCUCAGCACCACGGACAGCUCUCGCAGACGCCUGCUGCAAAAAACCAUCUUAAACUAAGUCCAUGACAGCUGGGUCCUAAUACAUGUUCCUCUUUCUUUCUUUCUUUCUUUUACGAUAAUGGAGUGUGUCCACGGAAGAUGCCUCUUUCCACACAUACUAGAGCCAUCAAAAAAUGUCUGGACAAAGGAAUUUCAUUCUCUACAGGCUCAACACUAAUGUUCCAAAUAAAAGCAAAUUAACAUGUCCUCAUGGGAUUACUCACUAAAAAGAGCACAGAGAUCAAUUUUCAGAGAUCAGUUUUCUUAAAGAUGUUUCCACAUGUCCAAAGCAAACAAUUCCAAGGAAAAGACCUACCUACAGUGAAAAUACAAGUAUCCCAGGAUGACAAAAAAUGCAUAAAACACGUACACCCUUGAUCACCGCUGCCUCCGAGAACCGUUUUCCUUCCGACCUUGCUUAGGGAUCUUCGUCCGCUUAACAGGAUUCUGAUCCUCAUCAAGAGAGCCGUUCCUCCUGUCGCUGCACUGAUGUCACUGAAGGGAGUGAGGGAAUGAAGCUGUGGGUUCAGGACAUUUGCUCUUUGUCACCGUCCUUCCUCUGGCUUCCUGACACUUAAACGUGCUUUCCUUAGUUAAUCCUAUGUUGUCUGUCCUCUUGACUCUGGCGAGUGACGUGAGGAUGGCCAGUAUCUCAGAUUUCUUCUGGAGCACCUGAGUACUGCUCGCUAAGUUCACGAAUGACAGAACCACCUCUUGGCUCCUUCCAGAUGCUUUUUCUCCUGCUCAGCUUCUGUGCCGUCAUAAUGUACUGGCACCAGGUAGGUGGGACUUGUGUCUUGGAUUUUCAGCACCUAAGGUUGACUGGGGCACAAUGAGUAUUUAAUUCAAUGUUUACCAAGAUUAAAAUAUAAUUUUGAAAGUG